GUGAGGCGAUGGUUGGAGCACUUGAUCUUUUCUUCCAUUAAAGGAUAAACAUUAUUGCUGCUCACAAGAAAACUUGAAUCAUGAUGUUCUUGGACAUUGAUGGGAAUGUCUAAUAAAGGACUGUCAUUGAUAGAGCUUGGAUUUGUCACAGGGUCCUUCUACCCAGAUAACGGUG